UGAUUCGAUUCUUGUCUUCGUCUACUUUGUAUAUGUAUACACUAUCUGAAACUGUUUAUGGGUUUUGAAACAGAGGAGGGAUGAGUUCGUCGACUGUGCCCGGACAGGCUGGAACCGGAGUACGGGUUCGAUGACGAGGAUUACGAAGACGAGCACGAAGAGGAGGAGGAAGAAGAUAGAAGCUUGGAUCUUUUACUUAGGUUCGUGGAGAAUGUCUUUAGAAAAGUCUCCAAGAGAGCGAGGAGAGCCGUCCGAUCAAUCUUGCCUGUUUCCAUCUCCACCAAGCUGGUAAAGUCUCGACCUUUCGAAUGUAAACUGAUGAUCGUUCUUCGAGUAUUGUGCUGUUUUGUUCAAUGUAGGUGGGUUUCUCAGUGAAUGGCGUACUUAUACUUGCGUUUUUGUGGAUCUUGAAGGCCUUUCUCGAGUCGAGGUAUCUAGCUCCAGAGUACUUUAUGCAUGAGAUUGUUGAUGAGAAGACGGAUGUGUUUGCGUUUGGAGUGUUGCUUUUGGAGAUUAUAACUGGUCGUCGAGCUGUUGAUACGGCAAGCCGGCAAAGUAUAGUUAUGUGGGUAAUGAUCUUAAAACUUUGUAAAAGCAUUUUCCAUUUUCAUCAUCAAAGUCUAGUGAUCUUAAUGUGAAUGGUAUAAAGAAGUUAUAUAAGCUGACACUUAUUCUCAAACUAGCAUUGUGAAGAUAUACCAAAGUUUAUUGUC